CCCAGACUCCUACGGGAGGCAGCAGUGAGGAAUAUUGGUCAAUGGGCGAGAGCCUGAACCAGCCAAGUCGCGUGAGGGAGUACUGCCCUAUGGGUUGUAAACCUCUUUUGUCGGGGAGCAAAAGCCGGACGUGUCCGGCUGUGAGAGUACCCGAAGAAAAAGCAUCGGCUAACUCCGUGCCAGCAGCCGCGGUAAUACGGAGGAUGCGAGCGUUAUCCGGAUUUAUUGGGUUUAAAGGGUGCGUAGGCGGGCUUUUAAGUCAGCGGUAAAAAUUCGGGGCUCAACCCCGUCCGGCCGUUGAAACUGCCGGGCUAGAGUGGGCGAGAAGUGCGCGGAAUGCGUGGUGUAGCGGUGAAAUGCAUAGAUAUCACGCAGAACUCCGAUUGCGAAGGCAGCGCACCGGCGCCCUACUGACGCUCAGGCACGAAAGCGUGGGUAUCGAACAGGAUUAGAUACCCCCGUAC
rnacentral:rRNA from 1 species